rnacentral:rRNA from 1 species
AACGAACGCUGGCGGCAUGCCUAACACAUGCAAGUCGAACGAUGCUUUCGGGCAUAGUGGCGCACGGGUGCGUAACGCGUGGGAAUCUGCCCUUGGGUUCGGAAUAACAGUGAGAAAUUGCUGCUAAUACCGGAUGAUGUCUUCGGACCAAAGAUUUAUCGCCCAGGGAUGAGCCCGCGUAGGAUUAGCUAGUUGGUGGGGUAAUGGCCUACCACGGCGACGAUCCUUAGCUGGUCUGAGAGGAUGAUCAGCCACACUGGGACUGAGACACGGCCCAGACUCCUACGGGAGGCAGCAGUGGGGAAUAUUGGACAAUGGGCGCAAGCCUGAUCCAGCAAUGCCGCGUGAGUGAUGAAGGCCUUAGGGUUGUAAAGCUCUUUUACCCGGGAUGAUAAUGACAGUACCGGGAGAAUAAGCUCCGGCUAACUCCGUG